UACGUAGGUGGCAAGCGUUGUCCGGAUUUAUUGGGUUUAAAGGGUGCGUAGGCGGCCCACUAAGUCAGUGCUGAAAUAUCCCGGCUUAACCGGGAGGGUGGCAUUGAUACUGGUGGGCUUGAGUACAGAUGAAGUAGGCGGAAUUGACGGUGUAGCGGUGAAAUGCAUAGAUAUCGUCAAGAACACCGAUAGCGAAGGCAGCUUACUAGCUGUAACUGACGCUGAGGCACGAAAGUGUGGGGGAUCAAACAGG
rnacentral:rRNA from 1 species